rnacentral:ribozyme from 1 species
UCCGACAGGGGCCUGAUUCUUCACAAUGUAACGACCGUCCAACUUGAGGGCACUCUGGACCCUUAUGGGGCGGCCCAUCAGAGGCUUGUCCGAGAACCGAAGUGCGUCUUGCGCGCCCUGAACAAUGAUGUGCCAUGCGAUCCGGGGAUGAAACCAUCUUUCUG